AUCGGUGCCACGGCGGCGGUCUUGGCUGUGGCGGCCCUCCUGGCGGCCAUCUUCCUCGUCAGGCGACACAGACAAGCCAAGUCAAGUCAAGUCAAGUCAACUUUAUUUAUAUAGCACAUUUUCAACAACUGUUUAGAUUGCACCAAAGUGCUUUACAGGUUAAAAAAGCAUGGAGCAAACAAAAAACAAACAAAAAAAAAAAAAACAAAAAAAAACCAACAACAAAAAAAACAACAACAACUAAGCAAAACAAAAAAAAACAAACAAA